rnacentral:rRNA from 1 species
UACGUAGGGUGCGAGCGUUGUCCGGAAUUAUUGGGCGUAAAGAGCUCGUAGGCGGCUUGUCGCGUCGGAUGUGAAAGCCCAGGGCUUAACUCCGGGUCUGCAUUCGAUACGGGCAGGCUAGAGUUCGGUAGGGGAGAUCGGAAUUCCUGGUGUAGCGGUGAAAUGCGCAGAUAUCAGGAGGAACACCGGUGGCGAAGGCGGAUCUCUGGGCCGAUACUGACGCUGAGGAGCGAAAGCGUGGGGAGCGAACAGG